ensembl:snRNA U6 U6 spliceosomal RNA
GUGCUCAUUUGUGUAGCACAUAUACUAAAAUUGGAAAGAUAUAGAAAAAAUUAACACAGCCCCUGCACAAGAAUGACAUGCAAAUUCAGGAAGCAUUUCAUAUUUUU